CUUUGCUGGCGGCCGGCGCACGGGUGAGUAACACGUAUCCAACCUGCCCUUUACUCGGGGAUAGCCUUUCGAAAGAAAGAUUAAUACCCGAUAGUAUAAUGAUUCCGCAUGGUUUCAUUAUUAAAGGAUUCCGGUAAAGGAUGGGGAUGCGUUCCAUUAGGUUGUUGGUGAGGUAACGGCUCACCAAGCCUUCGAUGGAUAGGGGUUCUGAGAGGAAGGUCCCCCACAUUGGAACUGAGACACGGUCCAAACUCCUACGGGAGGCAGCAUG
rnacentral:rRNA from 1 species